rnacentral:rRNA from 1 species
UACGUAGGUGGCAAGCGUUGUCCGGAAUUAUUGGGCGUAAAGCGCGCGCAGGCGGUUUUUAAAGUCUGAUGUGAAAUCCCCCGGCUCAACCGGGGAGGGUCAUUGGAAACUGGGGAACUUGAGUGCAGAAGAGAAGAGUGGAAUUCCACGUGUAGCGGUGAAAUGCGUAGAGAUGUGGAGGAACACCAGUGGCGAAGGCGACUCUUUGGUCUGUAACUGACGCUGAGGCGCGAAAGCGUGGGGAGCAAACAGG